ACGAGCUCGCAAAGAGCACGCACAUUUUUUGCCGUCUGGGGAUCUGGGCGGUGCGGAGCUGUAGGAGAAACACAAGUUAAUUGGGAGACGCAGACUGAUGCAACAAAAACCAGAAAGUAGGGUGUACAGCGUACACUGUAGUCUAUAGCAAACAAAUGAGCGUGCUGUGUGUGUAACAGCGCGAUAAACAUUACCUGUCCUUUAAGUAACUGCACAAGUAGUGCUGGUCAUAGCUGCUAGCUAACUGGGUAAGGGUGUCAUGGGUCUGUAGCGCUGUCCACCGUUUUAGGGAAGAUAUUUGGUUUUAAAAUUCACAGCACGUGGAGAGUGAUAGCUGAGAUGAGGAGAUGGAGGAAGAGAGGCAAAGAGUGAUUCACAGACAGAGCCUCGUUUAUUUCUCACCGUUUUGUUGCCUUAUGGUUCCAAGCGCUGUCACAAAUUUUUGCAUUUUAUUAUUAUCUCAUAACACUUGUUUAAUCAGCUACCAUCUCUCCUAUGGAUUUUUUACAGUCUACAGUCUCAAAUCAACACAGCCCUGCCCUCCAGCACUAUCAGCAGCAGGAGCAGCAGCAACACCUCAGCAGCAACAUUGUACCCCAUCAGGUAAAACAUAGGCUACGUUUGCUUUGCAUUGUCCCCUUGAAACUUCUCUGCAUGGCCCUGAGUAUAUCUGUGUGAGUUCUUAUGUCCUGCACAGGUUUAUCAAAUACCUGUCACACAUGGUGGACUACAGUCACUUUACGAGAUUACUUAAGUUUCAGUGGUUAUGCUCCUACUUCGUCACCUCCACCCUGAACUGCUCUUUCACUCUGUCCUCUGCAACAGGAUGUAAGGAUUUCUUAAUGCUGCUUUACUUCAAAAGAAACAAAAUGCUUUGCAGCGAAGUUUCAGUUCGAAUUUUGAGUUGAUGUUUCAUAUUAACGAUUUCGCUUCCACACUGCCACAGUUCUGCUUGGCAAUCAUAGAAAAUGUAGUGUAAUACAUAAGAAAUAAAGAUUUAGUAUUCAGAUCCAAGCUAGAGACAGGAAUUUUCACUUACAGGUCAGUUAAUGUCCAUCACAGCAGCAGGCGCCCUGCAUCAGGAAAAACCCUGUGAGGCUCCUGCACAGGUGUUUUAGGUAAUCGUAGCUUUAACUGAGAAUAAGAUGGUCUACACUGACGUUUCAACACUCAGAAGAACUUCCGAAAAUGCGGACAUUUCGAAACACAGCUCAGAAGUGUGGUUCAAAAACGGAGGUCAUGUGACCGUGUGCCGAUGGACGGCUCGCCUGCUGCUUCUGCACAGAGGACAGAGUGAGAGAGAGAGAGAGUCCACUGCUAAUCCUGACAUUUUGAAAACAGAAAGUCCGUGGUUUCAAACAUAAAAAACAUGCAGAAAGUUUGAGUUGUAACUCUCAUCAUCCAUUUUUUUUCUGCUGUAUGGGCAGAAACUGAAGGAUUAUUCCUGCUACGCACAGAAAGCAAAAUAAACACAUCCUCAUAUACAUGAGAUUUAUUUCUAACUGUUCUCAGUUUUACUCUCUCUGACACCUCAGCAUAAGCACACCCUCAAACUGUGGCAGUAAUAAAUUAAUAUUAUUAUUUUUAUUAUAAAGAGUAAAGCUAAAAAAGUUUCAUCCUCUGCUGAGGAAUGUGUUUACUCAGGUUAAUUAGUUAUCUGUCAGUAUGAAAUGAGCUGAUGUGAUUGGUCAGAGUUAACCCAGAUGGGGGGCAUUAGAACGAAAACACAUCGAGUCUUUUAUUGAAAUCUUUAUUGUUGAGUUAAUUGAAAUAAAACCAAAUGGCAGCUUUUUUGUUUAACAGCGUGUAAAACAAAUGUGAUGACCGUGAACUCACAGAAAGUCCGUGAGACAUCAGGGAUUUGAGUUUGUUUGUUCAACGCUUCAAAAACCUGAAAAGCUGUGAGGUCAUCACCACAAACACAGCAGCUUUUUUCUCACAUUUUAUUUCAUGUAUAAAUAAAAUGUGUUACUAAACAGCUGAAAACCUCAUUCAUGUUAUUUUUGCUGAGGUUCACUGCUCACAGUUUGUUGUCUUUAAUAAUCUCAUAUAAUAAAUACUCCUGUUUAGAAUUGUGCAGGGUUUAUUUUUUGAAAUCAUUGUUUCAAAGAAUCACAUUUCCGUGACGUGACAACAGCAAAGGCUGUCCAAAAUUUGAAGGCUGCUCCAAAUGCGGCCCACAAAUGCGUCCUCCUUCUCUCCAGAUUUGAAGGAGGGGUCAGGUGUAUCCUUUGUGGCCCACCCUAUCCCAUGAUUCAUUGUGAAUCGAAGGCUGAAGAAUUUUGGGGGGAAAAAUGGCAGACAGUCUAAGCGGUCCAAAAAUACUUUUAAAAGUAAGUACUGGGUUUUUAUGUCACUAAAAAUAUCCAGUGGAACUAAUGUUGGCAUAAUGAAGAAUCUUCGGGUAGGCAAGUUCCUUCAAAGGAUGCAGCCCCUGAACUUGGACACAGCCUCAGUUUCACACAUCACGUGACUGACGAAAAUGCAUUUUAAAUCUCUGAAAGCAGAAAUUCAGCCAGUGUGAAGAUGAUCAGAAACUUUUUUUUAUGUCAUUAUUUGAAGGCUUUUGAUUGGCCAGCAUUUCUUCGUGGUUAGGGUUAUAUAGCUAGCUUCUUUUGGCCUGCUCUUCACAGCACUUCAAAUCAUUUCAUGUGCACAGGGACUAGUAACCCUGUUUUAAAAAACAGCUAUGUUUAUAUGGACGUAGUCUACACUGAAGUCUUCUCUUUGCAGGUGAACAUGUGGACAGUCUGACUGAUCCACUCUGUUUAAUCUCAACAACUCCAGCAGCUCAGGGCGAAGCACCAAACUGUGAUCCCGACACAGAGCCCACAGACUGUGCAGGCUAAUGCUCAGCUCCCUGUUUUCAGUCUUUACAUCUUUGCAUGAUUGCAGAUUCAAGAUAUUCCCUCUUUUCAUUUACCCUGUCUCUAAAACCAGCGUUUUAGCUCCUCCUCCUUUAACCCUUGUGUUAAUGAGUAGUUCAACAGUCAGAGCUGGUUAUUUAAAAUGACCAUAUAAGGAUUUCCGAGGUUUUAUUCAGACUCAAACUGGCUGUUUUCAUUGUAUUCAUUUCUUAUUUUAUUAUUUUUAUCAUCAACAAUUAAUGAAAUGAGUCAGUGAAAAUUAUGUUUAAUAUCAGAAAAUAUUUGUAAUCUAAUGUCCAUCACUGAAGCUCAGACAAAUACAGUGUGAGGUCAAAUUCUGUCUGACUACAUGUCAAAACAGCCAAAUAUGACUCCACAUUCAUGAAUAAAGUCAUUUUAGGCUAAACGACACACACGCAACGUGUAAACUAAAAGAAGAAGAUGAUAAUGAAACAAACAGUGGAAACAUGACCCUGUCACAGCUUUACACACAUGCUUUCUGUAUUGUUUCUGAGUUCAUUGUUCUUUCAUACACAAAUAUAUUCUUAUUUAUGUAUGUAACGUAUAUUCAAGAACAAUGUAAACCGAUGUGAAGUCUAUGUAUCACUGAACCAGACUUUUGCUCCACUCAUACGUAUCAGCACCAUGAGUGUGUUGUUUGAUCUCCAUACGCAGCAGAUCUGUGUGUGUUGUUCUUGUUGCCUGGCUGUGAGCUCAGAGCUCAGACGGCUCUCGUUGCCUCUGCUGGUCUUUCUCAGAGCAGCUUCUUAAAGUUCUCCAGCUGUUCUCCUGCAUUUCUGUGUCUGAGCUUCCUCUGAAGUCUCUGAGUCUUCUCUUCAUCUGCUCAAA